rnacentral:rRNA from 1 species
UACAGAGGGGGCAAGCGUUGUUCGGAAUUACUGGGCGUAAAGGGCGCGUAGGCGGCCUGUUAAGUCGAACGUGAAAUCCCCGGGCUCAACCCGGGAACUGCGUCCGAUACUGGCAGGCUUGAAUCCGGGAGAGGGAUGCGGAAUUCCAGGUGUAGCGGUGAAAUGCGUAGAUAUCUGGAGGAAUACCGGUGGCGAAGGCGGCAUCCUGGACCGGCAUUGACGCUGAGGCGCGAAAGCCAGGGGAGCAAACGGG